GGCGAACGCUGGCGGCGUGCUUAACACAUGCAAGUCGAACGGUAAGGCCCUUCGGGGUACACGAGUGGCGAACGGGUGAGUAACACGUGGGUGAUCUGCCCUGCACUUCGGGAUAAGCCUGGGAAACUGGGUCUCAUACCGGAUAGGACCACUGCCUGCAUGGGGCGUGGCGGAAAGCUUUUGCGGUGUGGGAUGGGCCCGCGGCCUAUCAGCUUGUUGGUGGGGUGAUGGCCUACCAAGGCGACGACGGGUAGCCGGCCUGAGAGGGUGACCGGCCACACUGGGACUGAGAGACGGCCCAGACUCCUACGGGAGGCAGCAGUGGGGAAUAUUGCACAAUGGGCGCAAGCCUGAUGCAGCGACGCCGCGUGAGGGAUGACGGCCUUCGGGUUGUAAACCUCUUUCAGCACCGACGAAGCGCAAGUGACGGUAGGUGCAGAAGAAGGACCGGCCAACUACGUGCCAGCAGCCGCAGUAA
rnacentral:rRNA from 1 species